rnacentral:rRNA from 1 species
GGAGUUUGGACCGUCUCUCAGUUCCAAUGUGGCCGGUCAUCCUCUCAGAUCGGCUACCGAUCGUCGACUUGGUGGGCCGUUACCUCACCAACUAUCUAAUCGGACGCGAGCCCACCCCAAACCGGUUUGCACCUUUUACCCCUGCACCAUGUGAUGCUGUGGUCUCAUGCGGUAUUAGCACCUGUUUCCAAGUGUUAUCCCCCUGUCUGGGACAGGUUGCUCACGCGUUACUCACCCGUCCGCCACUGGAAUAUACCAUCUUCCGGCCGAAGCCUUCCGUCAGUAUAUCCCCGUUCGACUUGCAUGUGUUAAGCACGCCGCCAGCGUUCGUCCUGAGCCAGGAGUCAAACUACU